UUUAUGGAGAGUUUGAUCCUGGCUCAGGAUGAACGCUGGCGGCGUGCCUAAUACAUGCAAGUCGAGCGAACGGACGAGAAGCUUGCUUCUCUGAUGUUAGCGGCGGACGGGUGAGUAACACGUGGAUAACCUACCUAUAAGACUGGGAUAACUUCGGGAAACCGGAGCUAAUACCGGAUGAUAUUUUGAACCGCAUGGUUCAAAAGUGAAAGACGGUCUUGCUGUCACUUAUAGAUGGAUCCGCGCUGCAUUAGCUAGUUGGUAAGGUAACGGCUUACCAAGGCAACGAUGCAUAGCCGACCUGAGAGGGUGAUCGGCCACACUGGAACUGAGACACGGUCCAGACUCCUACGGGAGGCAGCAGUAGGGAAUCUUCCGCAAUGGGCGAAAGCCUGACGGAGCAACGCCGCGUGAGUGAUGAAGGUCUUCGGAUCGUAAAACUCUGUUAUUAGGGAAGAACAUAUGUGUAAGUAACUGUGCACAUCUUGACGGUACCUAAUCAGAAAGCCACGGCUAACUACGUGCCAGCAGCCGCGGUAAUACGUAGGUGGCAAGCGUUAUCCGGAAUUAUUGGGCGUAAAGCGCGCGUAGGCGGUUUUUUAAGUCUGAUGUGAAAGCCCACGGCUCAACCGUGGAGGGUCAUUGGAAACUGGAAAACUUGAGUGCAGAAGAGGAAAGUGGAAUUCCAUGUGUAGCGGUGAAAUGCGCAGAGAUAUGGAGGAACACCAGUGGCGAAGGCGACUUUCUGGUCUGUAACUGACGCUGAUGUGCGAAAGCGUGGGGAUCAAACAGGAUUAGAUACCCUGGUAGUCCACGCCGUAAACGAUGAGUGCUAAGUGUUAGGGGGUUUCCGCCCCUUAGUGCUGCAGCUAACGCAUUAAGCACUCCGCCUGGGGAGUACGACCGCAAGGUUGAAACUCAAAGGAAUUGACGGGGACCCGCACAAGCGGUGGAGCAUGUGGUUUAAUUCGAAGCAACGCGAAGAACCUUACCAAAUCUUGACAUCCUU
rnacentral:rRNA from 1 species